rnacentral:tRNA from 1 species
GCUGCAAUAGUUUAGUGGUAGAAUUGAGCGUUGCCAUCGCUUAGGCCCGAGUUCGAUUCUCGGUUGCAGCA